GGUCUGGUGGUGUAGUUGGUUAUCACGUCAGUCUAACAGCUCGAGAGCCUCAUCUCUUUCGUCUGCCACACUGAAGGUCUCCGGUUCAAGUCCGGGCUAGAUCA